UACGAAGGACCCGAGCGUUAUCCGGAUUUAUUGGGUUUAAAGGGUGCGUAGGCGGUUUUACAAGUCAGUGGUGAAAUCUCCCAGCUUAACUGGGAAACUGCCAUUGAAACUGUUUAUCUUGAGUACAUUUGAGGCGGGCGGAAUGUGUCAUGUAGAGGUGAAAUUCUUAGAUAUGACACAGAACACCAAUUGCGAAGGCAGCUCGCUAAACUGUAACUGACGCUGAGGCACGAAAGCGUGGGGAUCAAACAGG
rnacentral:rRNA from 1 species